rnacentral:rRNA from 1 species
UGUAAGCGUAUACCAAAGUUGUUGCAGUUAAAACGCUCGUAGUCGGACUUUGGCAGUUCCGGAUGUGUGCACGUCGUGUGCGCACUUCGCGGGGAUUGCUUUUGUGGUCUUGCGUAGGAUGAGGCACUUUUAUUAGUGAACGUCCUCACGCAACCACUUUUUACUGUGAGAAAAUCAGAGUGCUCAAAGCAGGCAUUUGCCGUGAAUGUAUUAGCAUGGAAUAAUAGAAUAGGACUUGGUUCUAUUUUGUUGGUUUGUUGGGACUGAGUAAUGAUUAAGAGGGACAGUUGGGGGCAUUUGUAUUUCGGUGCUAGAGGUGAAGUUCUUAGAUUACCGAAAGACAAACUGCUGCGAAAGCGUCUGCCAAGGAUGUUUUCAUUGA